UACGGAGGGGACUAGCGUUGUUCGGAAUUACUGGGCGUAAAGCGCACGUAGGCGGAUUUGUAAGUCAGGGGUGAAAUCCCUGGGCUCAACCCCGGAACGGCAUCCGAUACGGGGCGGCUCGAGACCGAGAGAGGUGAGUGGAAUACCCAGUGUAGAGGUGAAAUUCGUAGAUAUUGGGUGGAACACCGGUGGCGAAAGCGGCUCACUGGCUCGGUUCUGACGCUGAGGCGCGAAAGCGUGGGGAGCAAACAGG
rnacentral:rRNA from 1 species